rnacentral:rRNA from 1 species
CGUAAAGAGCUCGUAGGUGGUUUGUCGCGUUGUUCGUGAAAUCUCACGGCUUAACUGUGAGCGUGCGGGCGAUACGGGCAGACUUGAGUACUGCAGGGGAGACUGGAAUUCCUGGUGUAGCGGUGGAAUGCGCAGAUAUCAGGAGGAACACCGGUGGCGAAGGCGGGUCUCUGGGCAGUAACUGACGCUGAGGAGCGAAAGCGUGGGGAGCGAACAGGAUUAGAUACCCUGGUAGUCCACGCCGUAAACGGUGGGUACUAGGUGUGGGUUUCCUUCCUUGGGAUCCGUGCCGUAGCUAACGCAUUAAGUACCCCGCCUGGGGAGUACGACCGCAAGGCUAAAACUCAAAGAAAUUGACGGGGGCCCGCACAAGCGGCGGAGCAUGUGGAUUAAUUCGAUGCAACGCGAAGAACCUUACCUGGGUUUGACAUGCACAGGACGCCGGCAGAGAUGUCGGUUCCCUUGUGGCCUGUGUGCAGGUGGUGCAUGGCUGUCGUCAGCUCGUGUCGUGAGAUGUUGGGUUAAGUCCCGCAACGAGCGCAACCCUUGUCUCAUGUUGCCAGCGGGUAAUGCCGGGGACUCGUGAGAGACUGCCGGGGUCAACUCGGAGGAAGGUGGGGAUGACGUCAAGUCAUCAUGCCCCUUAUGUCCAGGGCUUCACACAUGCUACAAUGGCCGGUACAAAGGGCUGCGAUGCCGCGAGGUUAAGCGAAUCCUUUUAAAGCCGGUCUCAGUUCGGAUCGGGGUCUGCAACUCGACCCCGUGAAGUCGGAGUCGCUAGUAAUCG